CAAGCCAUGAGGUUGGAGUUGGGUUUUACAACUUCCUUCUUCCAGUAUCUAGUUCUUGCCCCUUGUCUCUCAGCUGGCAUUUCUGGUCUGGUUGCAGUUCUUUACCUGGUUGGGUGACUAAAUAUUAUUCCUAAAGUGUUCCCAGUAGUAUUAGCAGCAGCAGUAGCAACAGCAGCAAUAGGCAUUAGUAGUAAUGGCUAAGAGUGCGUAAAAGCAACCCUAGCAACCCUAUUUUCCCCUAAUAAUCAGAAUCAAUCAUCUCAGACCUUUAACUCUUCCCUUGUCCAUUGAGUCAGUGGUAUAAGGAGCUCAAGGUGGUUCCAUGGAAUUCUCAGUUUCCAGUUGAAUAGAACCAUUUUUGUGUGUGUGUGUGUGAGAAUUAAACUCAAUAAUCCAGCAGAGUUCAAAGUUACAGAAAGAGAAAACAAAAUUUUUACUGGGUGCAUUGUUGAGGUAACAGGGCAGGGAAUAUUCCCACUCCAGCCCCUUCGUUCUCAAAGCCAUGUGUCCUGACUAUUGUAGAAACAGCAUCAUGUAUUUAUUAGUCAUUAUUGCUAUCAAUUGCUAUUGGAAUAUAUUGUACAUCUUGUCAGAAGAUACCUUGGACUUGCAAGCUUUUAUGUGUAUGUGUUGGCUCUUCUUGUCCUCCCAGCAGGUGACGUACUGUUUCUUCAAUAGACCAUCGGGCUAUUUCAUUAAGACAGCAUCUUCAGACAAUGUGGUACAUGGUAGCACCAAUUUAAAUCAACAGACUGAAUAAACUACGAGAACCACUCCCACCUGCUUGAGGUCACAGUCACACCAGAAUCUCCGGUAAAGGUACCCAUAUCAGUAAUCUAAUGUGGUACCUGGUAUGGUAUUUUUGUGUGUGUGUGCUGCUUCAAAACGUUUACAGUCAUUCCUCCCUACAUUCCUCCCCUGGUUUGUGUGAAGGUAAAUUUGAAAGAUAAUGUUUCUGUUUUCGUGUAUGUGCUAUCCCUCGGAUUAGACUUUGUAGUUAUUCCCAACUUGUCUUGUUUUCAUCCUCUAAUUAUAGAUCUGGAAGCAAUGAGUGGUAGUAGGUAUUGAAUAAAAUUGUCAUUGCCUUACAAGAGGACACAUCAUUGAGGUCAUUUAGAAUCUUCAGGUGAAGGAAGACUGAUGUUCUCAAACAGAAAAGAUGGGCUGUUUCUGAUGGAAAUUAAGGAUCAAUGAGGAGACUGUUUUCCAUGGGUCUCUCACAUUUCUGGACAUCUUGCAAAUGAAGGCACUCACUGACUUUAUUUCAAAUUAUCUUUUGAAGGAUGUUUAUAUAGCAAAUGACAGAGAAAAUGUCUCUCUCUAGGGUGAAGACCAGAUAGAAUUACUGCUCAUUUUAAAAGAUUCAGGUACCCUAUGUUUAGAAUUCCUCUCUUGUACCCCACCCCAUUAUGUGUGCAGGUAUUACCCAGACUUCUUUGUAUUAUCCUGUAGAU
rnacentral:lncRNA from 1 species